GCCUCGGUGGCUCAGUCGGUUAAGCGUCUGACUUCAGCUCAGGUCAUGAUCUCAUGGUUCGUGGGUUUGAGCCCCGCAUCAGGCU
rnacentral:tRNA from 1 species